ensembl:lncRNA
GUCGCACAUUUUUUGAAUACCGAGCUAGUGCUCAUACUUGUGUGCAUGUUAUCAAUGUCCUCGAAUGUAUUCCUCUCCAUUCGUGCUAAGUGGAAGAAGUCUCCUCCAAGAUCAGAGAAUGCUGACUGGCAGGGAAUAUGGAGAGGUUUAGGAAGAAUCUUAGAAGCGUGGGGACCCGCUGUGCCAUGGGAUUUCACUCCUGAACAUCUGUGGGAUCCCGAGAAACUGAGCCAGCAUUUGAGUCAGGGGCAGUGUGGCUUAGAUAGAUCAAAGGAGGCACGGCUCAUCUGGG